CCUAACCUUUUAGAUCAAGACAGGUAGAAAGAGAGACAUCAGAACAUUUCAGACCAAGAUGGUAAACUCUGAAGAGGGGCCUGGAGGAACAAAGGGAAAGUCUGCCUUUGGCACAAAAAGGAGACCUGAGCCUCCCCAGCUAGCAAAAGGACAACAAGAGGUCUUUCCUUCAUGCAGAAGUAAAUCCAUUCAGACAUUGCCCACAAUUAGUCUGAUUGCAUCUUCUGACUGCUCAGCCCAAGGAGUAGAAAACUGAACUCAUCUUUAAAGGGACCCUCCCCAGGUCUUCUAGCCACCACCAAGGGGAGGAGGACAAGCCACUCCACUCCAAGUCUUGGUUGAGUUUUGGAUGAAAAAGUCCCAUUCAUGCUCUCAAUGCUGCUUGGCUGGGGAGAAGACACUCAGUAUCCCUCAGAAUAGACUGAGUUGCUACAUGACAAGCCUGGUUAAAAUAAUUAUGCAG
rnacentral:lncRNA from 1 species